rnacentral:rRNA from 1 species
UACGUAGGUGGCAAGCGUUGUCCGGAAUUAUUGGGCGUAAAGCGCACGCAGGUGGUUUCUUAAGUCUGAUGUGAAAGCCCACGGCUCAACCGUGGAGGGUCAUUGGAAACUGGGGAACUUGAGUGCAGGAGAGAAGAGUGGAAUUCCACGUGUAGCGGUGAAAUGCGUAGAGAUGUGGAGGAACACCAGUGGCGAAGGCAGCCCCCUGGGCCAAUACUGACGCUCAGGCACGAAAGCGUGGGGAGCAAACAGG